ensembl:ncRNA lncRNA:CR45668 long non-coding RNA:CR45668
CUCUCUGGCUUGCGGCAGUUUUCCAGAGGCUGUGACUCAGUAAGCAUUUCUUGUUGUUACCCUAACGAUAAGCGUCCGAUUCCUAAUUCUCUUUCAAAUAAUUUGUUUUAUUUUUUUUUUUGUGUGUUUUGAAGUCAAACAGCUUCAUAAACAAUAUUAAAUAUCGCAAUUGUUAUUGCAAAUGCAUUCGUAUCAGGCGCCUUGAUGUUUUUCGCCAAAACUUCGUCUGCUCUUUGUCAGCGUAAUUGCGUUUGCCGGUCGUGCCGUCUUGCUCGCACGCGGCUUGCAAACAAAAAGUGAAAGAGGGAAAGCCACCUGUGUUGUUGCUUUUGUUGCUAUCGUUGGCUGCACACACAUGGCAAUAAGUAACCAUAUUGUAGACUUAUUUAUUUUAGCGUUUUCGUUGACUAAUCUUUGUUUAAAUAAUUGCCUAUUUCGAGCCAAAAUGACGCAUAAAAGGAAACGGCAACAUGCGGUGCGUUGAGCAUGCGUAAGCGAGAUGGCGCUAGAGAGAGCGCAGCAUAAAAAGAAAAAAACAACCGGCGAGUGGCGAGACACGAAUAAUACACACACGCACACAUGGUCAAAGGAGUGGCUCCAACGUCGGUGACGUCGCGCCCAGCCACAGACCCCGCCACGCCCCGCCCCACCCUUCCUUCCGCUGCCCCGCACCCCUUUCCUUCCACUACCGUUUUGCCGCAUUUGGUAUUGCCAUCUCGCUUUUUUGGCUUUACUUUGCUUUUUGAAUAAGCCAAGAAACUGAAAUCAAAGCGGACAGUCCGAAAAUUGAAUAUUCCAAAAAACAACAAUUGCACAUGCACUGCGUUCGGCAAAAGACGCAGAAAUUCAAGCCUUUUGGUCUGGCAUCAUCUUAAAAUAUCAUCAGUAUCAUCAUUGCCAUUAUAAAUACAUAAGAAAAUGAGAAUACAUUAAAGCUUUCUCUCUCUUUUAGUGCAACUGUUGUACAAAGGCAGGGCUAAUGACGGUGGGGGUGUGGACAGAUAGGUGUGGUGUAUUAACAAUAAUAGCGGUGGUGGUUUUCGCAGAAUUCGCCGCAUUCAGGGGAAACUUACCCCGAAAAGUGAGAUGGAGAGCGUGGAAGGACAACGGAGAAAGCACCGGUCGAAUAACGGUAAAACGCCUGCGCUGCUCUCGCCUACAGCACGUGCAAAUAUUCGCAUGCAAUAUGCCGGCCGCUCUCUUUCUCUCUCUGGAAAUAUAUGUAAUACAACUAUAUGCCUCGGAUCCCACUGGCUUUUUUGCAGGGGGAUUUGCAUCUGGAGUACUCAUUUCUACUUGGUGGUUACGGGUGCGUGCGUCAAAUUUUCUACGCAAGUGUCACGUCACAUGGGAAAGCAGCUGCGGAAUGCGGAAUCCCUCCUCCUCCACACGGAAGAUGCUAUCCGCCACUCCGGUUGCCCUAACAUCAUGCAGAUCUCCGCCAGAUCUGUUGUUCGCCUACAGGUGUGUCUGAGUGUUGUAUACUGGUAUCUUGUGUUGCCUAAGACGGUAGACAAAUCCACCUAAGGCUUGGCAGUCUGAGCCUGGCCAGGAUUUAUGCCACUGGCCGUGGAAGUGGUAGCCUCCGUUUCCUCACCGGGCAGCGUUUUGUUGAGUAUCUGGUGGAAGUGCUCCCCGAACACGGCGUGGUUGUAGGACACCAGACGACGGAACGAGGCGAUAAAUGCAACCAGCUCCUCUUGGUAGUCCGCGAAUCCUGAGGGCGGCGGCGGAAUGCUGCCAUUGGAGCGCAGUGUUACGCGCACAUAGCCAUCCAAUCGUUUGGCUGCAAGCGAUUUACGUGAAUUGAAUAUAAAAUACAUUGUAUUGCAU